UGAGGGAUAUUGGGCAAUGGGGGAAACCCUGACCCAGCAACGCCGCGUGAGGGAAGAAGGUCUUCGGAUUGUAAACCUAAGUAGUCAGGGACGAAGAAAUGACGGUACCUGAAGAGUAAGCUCCGGCUAACUACGUGCCAGCAGCCGCGGUAAUACGUAGGGAGCGAGCGUUGUCCGGAUUUACUGGGUGUAAAGGGUGCGUAGGCGGGCUGUCAAGUCAGAUGUGAAAUACCGGAGCUCAACUCCGGGGCUGCAUUUGAAACUGAUGGUCUUGAGUGAAGUAGAGGCAGGCGGAAUUCCUAGUGUAGCGGUGAAAUGCGUAGAUAUUAGGAGGAACACCAGUGGCGAAGGCGGCCUGCUGGGCUUUAACUGACGCUGAGGCACGAAAGCAUGGGGAGCAAACA
rnacentral:rRNA from 1 species